AAAUAAUCCGUGUGUAUAGAACUACAUAAAUAAUCGGUUAAAAGAUAGUCUUAUAUUAUAUUAUAAUCUCUAUGAAACACUAUUUAGAUAAAUAUUUACUUAUAUACCUCACAAUAAAAAUAAGGGUAAAAUUCAAAAACCACCCUUGUGGUUUCGCACUUUCUCACUUUAGUACCCUGUGGUUUAAAGUGUAGCAAGUUAGUGUCCGAUGGUUUCAUUUUUAUUUUUUCGUCAGCUUUUUCGUUAAUAUUCCGUUAAAUUAUAUUCAAAAAAACUUCAGAUACCCACCCAGGUUUAUCGAAUAUUCACUUUAGUACCCUUUAGUUUUAACUUUGUCACUGAUUUAACGAAAAAAAUUAGUAAAAUCGACAAUAAAAAAAAAAAAUAAAACUACCUGGCACUAAAUUGAUACACUUUAAACCACAGAGUAAUAAAGUGAAAAAGUGUGAAACCACAUGGAUGAUAUUUAAAAUUUUUUCUAAAAAUAAUUAUGUAUUUGAUAAUUAAAACUCUCUAAAAUUUAAUUAAAACUCUCUAAAAUUUACAGUUAUAACUCUCCAAAAUUUAUUGUUUAAAUUAAAUAUGUAUAUAAAU
rnacentral:lncRNA from 1 species